rnacentral:misc_RNA from 1 species
AGAAAAUAAACCAAAAAAAAAAUAAAAUAAAAUAAUCCAUGCUUCUGGUUGGUCUGUCACCCAUCUAUCUUCAUCUGUUAUGAAUGCUUUAAUGCCCAACUGAAACUUAUUUUUUUUUAGAAUUCACAUGUUCUUCAUCUAUGGCCUACUGUCAUAAAGACUGAUGUCAUGGCGUCAUGGAAUCCUUAGAAUAGUGCAGUAUGCUUAAAGAUUACAUUUAAUUUUAUAGUCUUCUAAGAUGAAAUGGUGGCAUGUUAUGUAUGAGCUGUAAACUCAAAGAUUACAGAAUAACGAUGCUAUAUAUUCUUCAGAACAGAAAUCGAUGCAUGCCUAGGGCAACAUUCUAUGUGGGUGUACAAAUUAUAUCAUACCUAGCAAUAUGUAUAGAUACCUAAGCUAAACUCAGCAAUAAUUAAUGGGCUUUCUUGAUUUGCCCGAUUGCAAGCAGUUAAUUGGAGGGACAGUUACACUUUUCAGUUCUCCAUAUGUGUUCCAACAGAAAGGUUGG